GACGAACGCUGGCGGCAGGCCUAACACAUGCACGUCGAGCGGAGCGGCGGACGGGUGAGUAAUGCCUAGGAAUCUGCCUGGUAGUGGGGGAUAACGUCCGGCAACGGGCGCUAAUACCGCAUACUAUCAGAUGAGCCUAGGUCGGAUUAGCUAGUUGGUGGGGUAAAUGCCUACCAAGGAGACGAUCCGUAACUGGUCUGAGAGGAUGAUUAGUCACACUGGAGCUGAGACACGGUCCAGAUUCGUACGGGAGGCAUCAGUGGUGAAUAUUGGACAAUGGGCGAAGGCCUGAUCCAGCCAUGCCGCGUGUGUGAAGAAGGUCUUCGGAUUGUAAAGCACUUUAAGUUGGGAGGCGUUACCAACAGAAUAAGCACCGGCUAACUUCGUGCCAGCAGCCGCGGUAAUUC
rnacentral:rRNA from 1 species